rnacentral:rRNA from 1 species
AAUAUUGGUCAAUGGAGGCAACUCUGAACCAGCCACGCCGCGUGAAGGAUGACGGCCCUACGGGUUGUAAACUUCUUUUAUACUGGAAUAAAGUGAGUCACGUGUGACUUUAUGCAUGUACUGUACGAAUAAGGACCCGUCAACUCCGCGCCCGCAGCCGCGGUAAUACGGAGGAUCCAAGCGUUAUCCGGAUUUAUUGGGUUUAAAGGGUGCGCAGGCGGAAGAUUGAGUCGGCGGUGAAAUUUUGCAGCUCAACUGUAAAAGUGCCAUCGAUACUGGUUUUCUUGAGUGUGGAUGAAGUAGGCGGAAUUUGUGGUGUAGCGGUGAAAUGCAUAGAUAUCACGAGGAACUCCGAUUGCGCAGGCAGCUUACUAGGCCAUAACUGACGCUCAGGCACGAAGGCGUGGGGAUCAAACAGG